rnacentral:rRNA from 1 species
UGAUGCAGCGACGCCGCGUGAGGGAUGACGGCCUUCGGGUUGUAAACCUCUUUCAGUAGGGAAGAAGCGAAAGUGACGGUACCUGCAGAAGAAGCGCCGGCUAACUACGUGCCAGCAGCCGCGGUAAUACGUAGGGCGCAAGCGUUAUCCGGAAUUAUUGGGCGUAAAGAGCUCGUAGGCGGUUUGUCGCGUCUGCCGUGAAAGUCCGGGGCUCAACUCCGGAUCUGCGGUGGGUACGGGCAGACUAGAGUGAUGUAGGGGAGACUGGAAUUCCUGGUGUAGCGGUGAAAUGCGCAGAUAUCAGGAGGAACACCGAUGGCGAAGGCAGGUCUCUGGGCAUUAACUGACGCUGAGGAGCGAAAGCAUGGGGAGCGAACAGGAUUAGAUACCCUGGUAGUCCAUGCCGUAAACGUUGGGCACUAGGUGUGGGGGACAUUCCACGUUUUCCGCGCCGUAGCUAACGCAUUAAGUGCCCCGCCUGGGGAGUACGGCCGCAAGGCUAAAACUCAAAGGAAUUGACGGGGGCCCGCACAAGCGGCGGAGCAUGCGGAUUAAUUCGAUGCAACGCGAAGAACCUUACCAAGGCUUGACAUGGACCGGACCGCUGCAGAGAUGUGGUUUCCCCUUUGGGGCUGGUUCACAGGUGGUGCAUGGUUGUCGUCAGCUCGUGUCGUGAGAUGUUGGGUUAAGUCCCGCAACGAGCGCAACCCUCGUUCUAUGUUGCCAGCGCGUUAUGGCGGGGACUCAUAGGAGACUGCCGGGGUCAACUCGGAGGAAGGUGGGGACGACGUCAAAUCAUCAUGCCCCUUAUGUCUUGGGCUUCACGCAUGCUACAAUGGCCGGUACAAAGGGUUGCGAUACUGUGAGGUGGAGCUAAUCCCAAAAAGCCGGUCUCAGUUCGGAUUGGGGUCUGCAACUCGACCCCAUGAAGUCGGAGUCGCUAGUAAUCGCAGAUCAGCAACGCUGCGGUGAAUACGUUCCCGGGCCUUGUACACACCGCCCGUCAAGUCACGAAAGUUGGUAACACCCGAAGCCGGUGGCCUAACCCCUUGUGGGAGGG